UACGUAGGCAGCAAGCGUUGUUCGGAAUUACUGGGCGUAAAGAGCUCGUAGGCGGUGUGUCGCGUCGGCCGUGAAAACCCGCGGCUCAACCGUGUGGUCUGCAGUCGAUACGGGCAGGCUAGAGUUCGGUAGGGGAGACUGGAAUUCCUGGUGUAGCGGUGAAAUGCGCAGAUAUCAGGAGGAACACCGGUGGCGAAGGCGGGUCUCUGGGCCGAUACUGACGCUGAGGAGCGAAAGCGUGGGGAGCGAACAGG
rnacentral:rRNA from 1 species